rnacentral:lncRNA from 1 species
CACUAAAUAGGGUUGGGCAGACAGAUAAACACGUUGAAAUGUUUCCGUACAACGGUCUCAAGGAAGGGGGGGGGGGGCACAGCAACACAGUUUGUGCCUCCCCUCCAUACCUCCCCUGUCUCCCAUUUGCCAGGAGUUCUUCUUACCUGGGGCUCCUCUGUGUCACCCCAUCUCUGGCAUGACACUUCCCAAAAAGGCCUUUGAAGGGCUGCCGCUGCUACUCUGAUAUUUGUAGCUAUUUAGGGCUGAAGGCAGACUGGAAUCCUUCUCAGAGCGCUGCUAAACAUAGAGUGUGCUGUGAAUCAGGCUUGUGACUGAAGGCAGCCAUGCCAUAGCAGGUGUGGGGAAGAUGACAGACGUCAUCAGGGUGACAUCAAAGCGCGCUCUUAAAAAAAAAAAAAAAAGGAAAGCAUAAAAGAGAGAAGGCAUUAUACAACCUGUUUGUUACUUAACAUGUAUUAGAGACGUAUAAAUCUCAGACCCAGUUCUUCACCUGCAAGGUCUGAGGACAGCCUCUUACCUGCCAACCAUAUAAACACAGACAGACCCCACAGUGGACCUGCCUCUCUCCUUUGUCCCACGUCGUCCAACAAGGCCCAGGUUCCAUUUCAGGAGCAGAGACAUUGCUUGGAUUGCUGUUAAACCAUGAUAAUACUUCUAGGUUGGUGGUGGCUGCCUGCUUCUUGUUGACUCCGGAACCAACUGCCAGACCCUCCAGGGCUUCCAUGAUCCGGGAUCUAGGAGUUGAAGCCAAGCCAGCAAGGGCUGCCAGGGAGCCAAGAACUCUGAUGCUUCUAAAUUUACAUCUGGGUAGCAGAUUUGCUCUGAAGUUGGACUACUGGAAACAAAUUCAAUGUUUCAGAAAUGUUACAAAGAGUUACAUUCUUCUGGUCUCAUCCAUCCAGCUUCUCAUGGGGACAGAUGGUCUGCCCGAUCCUCUUACGUGGUUCGACGUGCUCCGAGUUGCAAAGGGAGGUGGUAGCCAGGAAAAGCCUCCCGAGAUGACACCAGGACCCACUAGUGUUCUUGGUGAUGUGUGUCACGCCUGUGGAAAGCUGAAGUCCCCUGUUACUACAGCCCGCAGAGCUGUUUGUCCUGGAGACAGACAGAAGGAUGCGCUGGCUGAGACUAGGUGGGUCAGAGUUUGUUCACCUUUUCUCUGUGGGUUGUACAUCCUCAGAGUGUCACUUCUGAAAACAGGGCACUGCUAAUGUUUUCUAAAGCAGGAGUUUGCUCUUGUUAAACAGAAGGGGAAGGGCUAGCAAUUCCAUCUACA